rnacentral:rRNA from 1 species
AUUGAACGCUGGCGGCAGGCCUAACACAUGCAAGUCGAGCGAGCGGCGGACGGGUGAGUAAUGUCUGGGAAACUGCCUGAUGGAGGGGGAUAACUACUGGAAACGGUAGCUAAUACCGCAUACCAUCAGAUGUGCCCAGAUGGGAUUGGCUAGUAGGUGGGGUAAUGGCUCACCUAGGCGAGGGACCCUAGCUGGUCUGAGAGGAUGACCAGCCACACUGGAACGGAGACCCGGUCCAGACUCCUAGGGGAGGAGGCAGUGGGGAAUAUUGCACAAUGGGCGCAAUCCUGAUGCAGCCAUGCCGCGUGGGGGAAGAAGGCCUUCGGGUUGUAAGGCACUUUCAGCGGGGAGGCGUUACCCGCAGAAGAAGCACCGGCUAACUCCGUGCCAGCAGCCGCGGUAAUUC